AAAGAAAACUACCAGGUCCUACAGAAAAGGGAAGCCGAGGAGCUCACCUUCAGCCAGUCCCCGUAGUGGACGUAGCCCCCGAUGUAGGCGGCGUAGGUGCUAAUGGCCAAUUGGAGUGCGGCCCCCAGCGCGAACCAGCGCCGCUUCACGCCAAAGGACAUGAAACUAGCGCACAGCACGGCCGCCCCCAUGUCGAAAUACAGAAACAAUGGCGUCGCUCUCUGGUUCCGGACCGUAAGGUGUUCUAGUUGCGAAGUCCAGCCUUCUUGUCUGCUCAUGGAGACUUCAGGGCCCAUCUUUGUCCCUGCAAAACUGAAAACUAGACUAGAGGAAGGAACCGUGGGCUCAGGAUAGCAGAAGUCUUGGACCGUAGUGCAAACUGAUCUUUGAAUGCAGCCCGAUCAGGGGCCUAAUCCUAAUUCCAACCCUGUGUGAUUUUGGGCACAUCACCCAAACUUUGUGAGAUUCAUCAUGAAAUGGGGAUAAUGACACCUGCCUCAGAGUUGUGAACUUUAAAUGUGACAGGUUGGUCCUAGUACAUAGUAGCGGUUCAAUAAAUGGUACAUACACGCA